CUCCGCGCGUCGCACCGACGCGCGCUUAGUGUGCCUCACGCACCCACAGUGUGUGCGACUGUUGCGUCACGCACAGCGCGGCUGACACACGCGUGUGUGCAUUUUACUCGUCGUCGUCGUUGUUGUCGUCCGUCAUCCGCCGUGGUCGUCGUGUAGUACAUUCGUAGGCCUACCUAAGUUUAUUGUUAGAGAGCGUGCGGCGCACGCUGUGGGCCGAGCUUGAGAAUUUAGUACGCCUCGUACGCUGCUCCAGUCAUCACGUGCGCGUCUCUGUCGCCGCGAUUGUUUCUUCAGAUGCGAAUGAAAGAAAUCACAGUGAUAGCGCGCUCAGCGCGUCGCGCGUCACGCGUCACCUGGCUGAUCCGCGAGGUGUCGAUUUUCGGUUAGUGCCGCGUCCGGAAAUUUUGACGAGCGAACGAGUGGGAGUGUUGCUUGCAGUCAUGUGAUCUGUUUGCCGAGAGAUGAGCGAGAAAGCAGAGAACUUGAGGUGAAAGAUCGUGAUGUCCUUUGAUGAAGAUCAACGAAACAAAGGACGAGAAAUACGUGAAUACGAGUUGGAAGGAGAACACAUUGGAAUCGAUCGCUGGAAUCGCCAAAGCUCGAACGUGAAGUUUACGGGCGAGAGGUUUCUCGAAGAAAUUUGAAAAUACGGCUGCGUUGAACUGUAAUUUCCGGCAAGGAGAAAUUGCUGGUGUAAUCGCCGCCGCGUACUCCGAUGCCGAGGCGCGGGACAUUACCGUAGGAGUGCGGCGGCGAGGAAGAAGAAGCUGAAACUACUUUCGCGUGUUAAGUGAAACUACGUAAUACGCGCGCGAAGACACGUAAUGCAACUUCGAUGAUCGAGCUUUCAGUGAAUCCAUUUGCAAACGUAAUUCCUACGUGCCGUGGGGAGGGAACGAGAGUGCCGUGAUAACGAAGCGAGUCGUUAAAAAACAAAAGUCAUUUCGUGCGCGUCGUUUGGUAAACCGAGCGCGUGGCGCAAUGCAGGCCGUCGCGUCUCUGAUACAAUCGCCGGCUAUUAAUGAAUGCAGUUCGCAUCCGCGGCACGCGCGUUAAGAUCGUUACGAAAUCUCGCGUCACGUGUGCGAGAGCCCAAAGCUACGAAGGAAGAAAGGAAGGGAGCAAGGUAGGAAGGAAGGAAGGAAGGAAGGAAGGAAGGAAGGAAGGAAGGAAGCACGUGAGGCAUUAUUAAACUUCUCGCGCUUUAAUCCGGAUGUAACGCGCACGUUUACGUGGUUGGAACGAAAACUAUGCGGCACGAUGAAGGGGCCAAGAAUCGGUGGUGGCCUACCGAGCGAGAAAAGGCUGGACUACUGCCAGAAGACGCGUCAAGCUCGAGGAGCGUUGCUGCUGUACUUGAGUAUCUACACGUUGCUGCCGGCCGCUAUUUUCACUGCUCCAGCGCACGUGCGCGAAACAUCCAGGGAAGGUGCGCAGCGACGUGUAAACGACGCCAAUAAUGACCCGGCGGAAGAUUUGCCGGUUUUCGAGGCGACAGCGGCGAACGUCAGUGCGUUCGUAGGGCACACCGCGUAUCUGCCGUGCCGCGUGCGAAACUUGGGCGACAAAGUAGUCUCCUGGAUGAGGAGCAAGGACCUGCAUAUCCUUACUUCGGGAAAUUUUGCGUUCAGCUCGGACGCGCGAUUCGGAGCCCAGCACACGCCGGGCAGCGACGCCUGGACUCUCAGGCUGGACAACGCCAGGAAGACGGAUUCUGGCAAGUACGAGUGCCAGGUCAAUACGGAGCCGAAGAUCAUGUAUGCAGUGCAGCUCUCGGUGCGAGAUCCGGACAAACCGGAGGGAUAUGACGAGCCGCAUUCUCAACAGACGCGCAUAAGUUAUGAGAGUACCGCGCCGGUGGCGGACAUAAUGGGUCCCCGGGAGCAAAGGGUGCCGGCGGGUUCGACGAUCACCCUGAGAUGCGUCAUAUUGUCGCCGUAUCAGACCCGUCCCAUCAGGGGUGUACAAUGGCUUCGGGAUAACAAACUCCUAACAUUCCAGGCAGCGCGCGGAGGGAUCAACGUGGAGACCGAAAGGGGUGCGGCACGUACGGUGUCUGUGUUGACUUUGGCGGCGGUGACGCAGGAUGACGUCGGGAACUACUCAUGCAGGCCGACGGAGGGUCGAUCAGCCACUGUCACCUUGGUCGUUGAGGAAGGUUAGUCUCGGCCUUUCACCGCUUCUAUUGGUCUAUCGCGACGAGGAAGCAACAGCAACUGCGUCUGGGAACGCAUGGAAGCCAUGCAACGUGACGCCGGAUACGUCUCUGCCGGAAGUAACGUCAGGCACUGGCCCG
rnacentral:misc_RNA from 1 species